CUCGUAGGCGGUUCGUCGCGUCCGGUGUGAAAGUCCAUCGCUUAACGGUGGAUCCGCGCCGGGUACGGGCGGGCUUGAGUGCGGUAGGGGAGACUGGAAUUCCCGGUGUAACGGUGGAAUGUGUAGAUAUCAGGAAGAACACCAAUGGCGAAGGCAGGUCUCUGGGCCGUUACUGACGCUGAGGAGCGAAAGCGUGGGGAGCGAACA
rnacentral:rRNA from 1 species